rnacentral:rRNA from 1 species
CUCAUUAAAUCAGUUAUAGUUUAUUUGAUGGUCUCUUUGUUCCUUCUUUUUACCUACUUGGAUAACCGUGGUAAUUCUAGAGCUAAUACAUGCGCAAGGUCCCGAGCGCGGAGGGUAGGGCUUCACGGCUCUACUCUUGGCAUGCGUAGAGGGAUGUAUUUAUUAGGUUAAACAACCAGCAUCUUUCCAUUUCUGGUGAUUCAUAGUAACUCUUUCGGAUCGCAUUCAUG